CGUAGGGUGCAAGCGUUGUUCGGAAUCAUUGGGCGUAAAGCGUGUGCAGGCUGUUAGCUAAGUCGAGUGUGAAAUCCCUGGGCUUAACCGAGGAAGUGCAUUCGAAACUAGCUAGCUAGAAGACGGUAGAGGAAGGUGGAAUUCCAAGUGUAGAGGUGAAAUUCGUAGAUAUUUGGAGGAAUACCGGUGGCGAAGGCGGCCUUCUGGACCGUUCUUGACGCUGAGACACGAAAGCGUGGGUAGCAAACAGGAUUAGAUACCCUGGUAGUCCACGCCGUAAACGAUGGGUACUAGGUGUUGCAGGAAUUGACCCCUGCAGUGCCGACGCUAACGCAUUAAGUACCCCGCCUGGGAAGUACGGCCGCAAGGUUA
rnacentral:rRNA from 1 species